rnacentral:lncRNA from 1 species
GGUGUCUUUUCUCGCCAUCAAGUUUUUGUGCGCUUUGCAAAUUAGAUGCAUCCCUCGUAUGCCUAAACAUAGAACUCAACCCAUUCGAAGUGGAAGAAUAACUGUUCAAUGAAGCUUUGACAACUGGCUGAUAGAGUUUGUAAGGGAAAGUUCGGGAAAGACAUUCCUCCACCCAUUUCUUAUCUGAGAUUAACAAGUCAACCAGCCGAAGAGCAUCAUCUUUACUAAGAGAAUUCAGAGAUGAAGGACCUUCUUGUUGGAGGUUCUGUGCCAUCUGGGCCCUAGUUCUUGAUUGCAAGACAAGCACUGAACCAUGGCUUGUAACUAAGAACGAUCCCACUUC